ACAACAAAACAAAUGCAGGUUUUAAAUGUUCCAGGGGAGACUGUGGCAGAUACCGAGGAUAUAGAACCAUGGCCCUAAAACCUCUAGUGUCUUCAUAGAGUCUCUGUAGACAUGCUGGUAUCUGCCGGGGACAGUGGACAAUCAUGUACAUAUCUAUAAUUCAUAUUUUAGUUGUGUCUAAGGAUGAGCUUCUGUAAGCCAUGCAUUUUGAAAACCACUCAAAGUUUUCCUCACUGUGACUUCCUCACUGUCCUUAGCCGGUAAGGUUAAGGACUGAGUUGACUUCUAAAAUACCUGCCUACACUGACUUGAAUUCACUUAAUAAAUCUGAAGAAUUAAAACUCAUUGACUCAGAUAACUCACUUCCGGUAGAAUCUGGCAAAUGAGAACUAGAUUUGGCCUGUGAUCUCAGAGGAGUAUGAAUACCACACACUGGUCAAACCUCCUUAUUUAAACUUGGCACAAAAAGCACAGACAGGAAUGGCAGAUGGGAUCAUUUGUUAUCUUUGGCACUGUUCAUCUGCCCAAUGAUGGCGGGACAGGGGAAAUCCCACAAAACAGAGCCAGUGCUGCAAUCACCUGACCACGGGGCAGAAGGAGGUGAGCUCACACUUUCCCUGAGUGGUGAGCUACAAGCAGGUUUCCUGGCUUGUUCCUUGGUUCUCUCCUCACAUCAAAGAGACUGACCAUGCAGAGCAGGUGUUUUUAGGGGACAAAACAGCCCUCCAAGAAAGCCAAAAGAUGAAUAGAUCUUUAAGUCACAAAGUCUUCACAAAAUGCAGUCCCAACUUAGAAACCAAAAUGUCAAGGAAAAAAAAGUAUAAAUAAAAUAGAAGGAUCAACUCUUCAACAUUCAUUCACAGAAGUUCCAGCCACCUGGGCCACAUAUUGGCCAUGGGAAGCAUGUGGGCAUCCUCUGGAAGAUUGCAAUCUGAGCAGUUCCAGCUCAGCCAGCCUGACUAUCCUACUGAGCAGUUAGCCUUUCUCUAACCUGAGCUACAGUCAGACCCAGGUGCGAGCGACCAUGCUACACAUCAUCAGAGCUUGCAGCUGGAUUCUGAGAUCCCCCAUGGAGAAGGAAAGAAUUUAUUUCACCAGCAUCCCAAGUUUUACUGCAUCAGUGACGUUCCCUUAAUUGUGCGAAGCCUCCAAAAGUUACAAAACAAUAUCUUAAUUAAAAAUUUUGAGAGAAAGGUCACUUUUGAUUUCAUUCAGUUACUCACUCAUUCAUUCAACACAGGUUCCUGGAAUGCCUAGAUCUACAGACACUUGGUGAGAGGUUGAAGAUGCAAUGGUGAAGAAGACAUUCUCUGCGUCCAUGGAGCUUACCAUCCAUGGGUUGCCUCAUACCACAGUCUUUACUGAGCACCAUCCACACAGUGUUCAAAGUCCUGGGACACAGCAGGGAACUAGACAGAACGUAAACAAUUUAAAAAAUAGUGUAAUUUCAGAAAUUGAUAUGUCCUAUGCAGAAAAUGAAGCAGAAGAGGUGAUGGCAGCUGCUAUUUUUAGUAGAUUGAUCACAGAAGUGAUGUUUGAGCAAAGAUCUGCAUGAUUAAAAAGUGAGUCAAGUUUCCUGUGGAAAUGCAGCCUAGGCAGAGAGAAUACAAAACACAAAGUCUGAACAAAGGACGACCAUGUAUUGUUUCCUCUAAAGCUUGGCUGCACUUUUAAGAUCAUGUGAACAAUUUCCAGCUUUGCCAUGUUCUAUUUAUUUAUUUAUUUGCUUUUAGGGCCACACCUGAGGCAUAUGGAAGCUGCAUCUCCAAGCUGCAUCUGUGACCUACACCACAC